AUUGAACGCUGGCGGCAGGCUUAACACAUGCAAGUCGAGCGGGGGAAGGUAGCUUGCUACCGGACCUAGCGGCGGACGGGUGAGUAAUGCUUAGGAAUCUGCCUAUUAGUGGGGGACAACAUCUCGAAAGGGAUGCUAAUACCGCAUACGUCCUACGGGAGAAAGCAGGGGAUCUUCGGACCUUGCGCUAAUAGAUGAGCCUAAGUCGGAUUAGCUAGUUGGUGGGGUAAAGGCCUACCAAGGCGACGAUCUGUAGCGGGUCUGAGAGGAUGAUCCGCCACACUGGGACUGAGACACGGCCCAGACUCCUACGGGAGGCAGCAGUGGGGAAUAUUGGACAAUGGGGGGAACCCUGAUCCAGCCAUGCCGCGUGUGUGAAGAAGGCCUUAUGGUUGUAAAGCACUUUAAGCAAGGAGGAGGCUACUUUAGUUAAUACCUAGAGAUAGUGGACGUUACUCGCAGAAUAAGCACCGGCUAACUCUGUGCCAGCAGCCGCGGUAAUACAGAGGGUGCGAGCGUUAAUCGGAUUUACUGGGCGUAAAGCGUGCGUAGGCGGCUUAUUAAGUCGGAUGUGAAAUCCCCGAGCUUAACUUGGGAAUUGCAUUCGAUACUGGUGAGCUAGAGUGUGGGAGAGGAUGGUAGAAUUCCAGGUGUAGCGGUGAAAUGCGUAGAGAUCUGGAGGAAUACCGAUGGCGAAAGCAGCCAUCUGGCCUAAUACUGACGCUGAGGUAUGAAAGCAUGGGGAGCAA
rnacentral:rRNA from 1 species